rnacentral:rRNA from 1 species
UACGGGGGGGGCAAGCGUUGUUCGGAAUUACUGGGCGUAAAGGGCUCGUAGGCGCCCAACUAAGUCAGACGUGAAAUCCCCAGGCUCAACCUGGGAACUGCGUCUGAUACUGGAUGGCUUGAAUCCGGGAGAGGGAUGCAGAAUUCCAGGUGUAGCGGUGAAAUGCGUAGAUAUCUGGAGGAAUACCGGUGGCGAAGGCGGCAUCCUGGACCGGCAUUGACGCUGAGGAGCGAAAGCCAGGGGAGCAAACGGG